rnacentral:rRNA from 1 species
CCUACGGGGGGCAGCAGUGGGGAAUAUUGCACAAUGGGCGAAAGCCUGAUGCAGCAACGCCGCGUGAGCGAUGAAGGCCUUCGGGUCGUAAAGCUCUGUCCUCAAGGAAGAUAAUGACGGUACUUGAGGAGGAAGCCCCGGCUAACUACGUGCCAGCAGCCGCGGUAAUACGUAGGGGGCUAGCGUUAUCCGGAAUUACUGGGCGUAAAGGGUGCGUAGGUGGUUUCUUAAGUCAGAGGUGAAAGGCUACGGCUCAACCGUAGUAAGCCUUUGAAACUGGGAAACUUGAGUGCAGGAGAGGAGAGUGGAAUUCCUAGUGUAGCGGUGAAAUGCGUAGAUAUUAGGAGGAACACCAGUUGCGAAGGCGGCUCUCUGGACUGUAACUGACACUGAGGCACGAAAGCGUGGGGAGCAAACAGGAUUAGAUACCCCAGUAGUC